CCUAUCGUAUAAAGGUGAUAUCAGCUGUAUUGUAUCUGCUGGCAAAACCUAGGACAUUUUUGUGUGCUCUUAGACGUUGGAGUCGUCCCGGAGAAGAUGGUUUUCGUAUGUUAGACUUUUUAAUUAAGCUAUCAGGAAUGGAUACAAAGUCGCCAAACAAGGUGGUUCGACUCUGGUACAGUUUGACCCACAUCUACAUGGUCUACUCUAUGUUUUUAUCUGUCAUGCUAAUUGUGCUUUGGAUUUUCUUCUCCUUGGAAGAUUACUUCACCUAUCGCGUGAUGACUUUAUGUACAUUUGGAAUAUGCAUUUUAAACCGAUCGGACUGGAAACACUGUUGUAACUGCGUGAACGAUGCAAGACGGUUUAUUGACGAAGAGAGAAUGAAAUCUGGGAAUCCUGCUUUCGAUGAUAUGGUCCGAGCAAAAAGUCGCAAAACAAUCCAUUACUUUUUCUUCUUCAUAGUUCUGCUGGACUUGAGUGAGCUGACUAUGCUUUUGUUUCCAAGCAUUUUGCCCAGAAUUUUAUAUGGUAGGGGAGAGUGGGGAUACUUGAUCCCCUUUUCUUAUUUUCACCAUAUCUUUUUGGAAAAAUUAAGCAACUCGUCGUCUUUUACAUUUUCUGACAGCUUGUAACUUCAAGUUUCUAUGCUCCGAAAAUUAGAACGAUACUUGAACCCGUUUAAGAACUAGAAGCAUUUUCGUGGGAGUAAAAAAAUUGCGAUUUUUCUGAAGUUAGGGGAGACUUGAUCCCCAAUUGAAGGAGACUUGAUCUUUUAUUCAGGAAGCCCUAAUCCUUGUAUAAAAAACAAACAAAACCUCAAGAUAGAAUGUUAAUUGACUAUUUUGGUCAUGUUUGUUCUCAUUUCACAAUUUAUAGCAGACAUAAGAAGAAAAUUCCAUAACUUUGUCUGAACGCUAACAACAUUGCAUACUUAAAGGCGCUAUUUUUUAUAGUUAUGAAAAAAUUAAUUAUUUUUGCUCUUUUCUUAAGACAAUUGUUUGAUAAAUAUUAGUUUUUUGGAUAAAUAUUAGUAAUUUCGUAAUCAGCAAUCAUAACGAUCAAUUCAGAAGAAGAAUAUGCCGUUUGGAAGGGGGAUCAAUUGUACCCAACUCUAGGGGAUCAAUUGUACCCAUAAUCAACAUUUUAGAAAACUUUUUCUGAAAAAAGUUGAGAGUUUUCAAUUGUUUUGAAAAAAUGACAUUAUGAAGUUCAUUUUACGCUCGAACGAUUGAUACAUUGGAACAAAUAUUUUUUUCAUGACUUUCCCAUGUAAGGAACAUUUUAAAGUGAUGAAAAAAGAUCUUCAAGUUACAUUUAGUGAAAUUUUUCAAACAAAGUUCAAUUACUCAAACAAUUAUUUUGUUAAAAAAAUUUAAACUGCAAGCAUUGUUAUUUUGCUCAUUUUGGCACAUUUUUCUAGAACAUUCGAUCUUUGUAAGACAUUCCAGCUUCGAGAUAUAGCUAAGGAAUCAAGUAUCCCCAGGGAUCAAGUAUCCUCAUUCUCCCCUACUGAUCAGCUUGAGAAAUUUUUUGGAGUUGGCAUUGCGCAGGGAUUGCAUUCGAUCAAUCUUAUAUUCGGAUUGACCAUGGGGCCAACCAUAUUUUGCUGGAAUGCGACGUCUACAGCGUUGAUCCGUGCAAUUCAAGCAGAGCUGCAAAUUGUUGAUCAUGGUUAUGGAAGAAUUACGCUGACUACAUUUUCAACUUGGGAAAAAACAAGAGCAAAUCAUCCACCGAAGUCCUAUCGGCAAGAUCCUUGUGAUGAUGAUCUUUUCUGGGAACUUAUCAAACGAAACAUUCAUAUUGUAGCUUAUCAACAUGGUCAACUGCUCAAGUAGGUUUUUUUUGCAUUUUAACAUCAUUACGACAGAAUUUUAUUGAAAUAAAUCUAACUCAACAGGAUGUACUACAAAGUGAAACAAUUGGUGGAGAGAUCAUUUUUGUCCUGUUACCUGUAUGCGCUUGUCGUUUGGAGCUUGUUGAUGUUUGAAAUUCUAAGACAUGGUGUGUCGAUGCUUACCGUCAUCAGUUGUGGAGCUAUCUUGGGUUCCAUUAUGAACAACUAUACGUGCUGCUGGGUUGUGGACGCCUUCAAUGAAGUGCACGAUGACCUAGCGCUAACCGUAUUUGGAUUGAUGACAGAAAUUCCCUACUCUGCGAAACACCGUCGAGAGUAUGCUCAAGUGCGAUCAACACUGUUAAUGAUACACCAAAAUGCAUCCUGUGGAGCGAUUCUUAGUUGUGGUGGAUUUUUCUUCAUUGAGCUAACUGUCAUCACUAGAUUGGUUCAAACAACCUAUACAUUUGUGGCGUUUCUGUUCGAUGUUAAGUAAGGUGUUGGUAAUUAUUAAUUUCGACGUUUUUUCUCUAAUUCCCACGCUGAUCAAAAAUGUUAUUUUCGGAGUAACGAAUUCAAGUUAUGUCAUGAUAAGUAGCUUAUAUGUGUGUCAAGACACCAAACCGUCAAGAGUACCUACUUUUCAAAUUAGGCAUGUAAACUAAAGUCAUUUCAAAAACCUGUGGUGAAAAAAAAACCAAAGUAUAGAGUAUAGAAAAAUUAUCAUUUCAGAAAAAUUGGGCUACACCUUUCUUAAGCAAUUUUGUAAUUCAUUGUAUUUACAUAAAUGUGGAAAAAAAUUUGAAGCAAAAAUCAAUAGAACGAAAAAAGAGAACUGUAGCACUUUGGACGAAUUCAAUAAUUCAAUUUGAAGAUAUAGAUUAUUCUAUAUUGUUCAACAUUGGGCAUAAAAAAGGAAGAAUGAGAUGUUAUUUUUCUAACAAAACCAUUUAAAACAAUUUCAUCAUCAAAUUUGUAGAUUAUA